CCUACGGGAGGCUGCAGUGGGGAAUAUUGCACAAUGGGGGAAACCCUGAUGCAGCAACGCCGCGUGAGCGAUGAAGGCCUUCGGGUCGUAAAGCUCUGUCCUAAGGGAAGAAUAUUGACGGUACCUUAGGAGGAAGCCCCGGCUAACUACGUGCCAGCAGCCGCGGUAAUACGUAGGGGGCUAGCGUUCUCCGGAAUUACUGGGCGUAAAGGGUGCGAAGGCGGCCCUUCAAGUCAGAGGUGAAAGGCUACGGCUCAACCGUAGUAAGCGUUUGAAACAGUAGGGCUUGAGUGCAGGAGAGGAGAGUGGAAUUCCCACUGUAGCGGUGAAAUGCGUAGAUAUUGGGAGCAGCACCAGUUGCGAAGGCGGCUCGAUGGAAUGUAACUGACGCUGAGGCGCGAAAGCGUGGGGAGCGAACAGGAUUAGAUACCCGGGUAGUC
rnacentral:rRNA from 1 species